GUAACAAGGUCUCCGUUGGUGAACCAGCGGAGGGAUCAUUACCGAGUGUAAAAACUCCCAAACCAUUGUGAACCUACCACUGUUGCUUCGGCGGCCUCGCCCCGGGCGCGUUCGCGCGGCCCGGACCCAGGCGUCCGCCGGAGGCUCCAAACUCUUGUCUUUUAGUGUAUUUCUGAGUGGCAUAAGCAAAUAAAUCAAAACUUUCAGCAACGGAUCUCUUGGUUCUGGCAUCGAUGAAGAACGCAGCAAAAUGCGAUAAGUAAUGUGAAUUGCAGAAUUCAGUGAAUCAUCGAAUCUUUGAACGCACAUUGCGCCCGCCAGUAUUCUGGCGGGCAUGCCUGUCUGAGCGUCAUUUCAACCCUCAGGACCCGUUCGCGGGACCUGGCGUUGGGGAUCAGCCUGCCCCUGGCGGCGGCUGGCCCUGAAAUCCAGUGGCGGUUCCCUCGCGAACUCCUCCGUGCAGUAAUUAAACCUCUCGCGGCAGGAUAGCGGUUGAACCACGCCGUUAAACCCCCCACUUCUCAAGGUUGACCUCAGAUCAGGUAGGAAUACCCGCUGAACUUAAGCAUAUCA
rnacentral:misc_RNA from 1 species